ensembl:lncRNA
GGAAGAGCCAGUUGCUCACUUUUCACAUGCUUUUUCUGCUCCUUCUGUGGCUGAGAUCCUUCUUUCUUAACAGAAAAAUGAGGUAGACAAAGCUGAGCUCUGGCCGUGCCACUCCCCGCUGGCCCGCCUGUACACUGGCUCUUUAUUCUGAGAGCUUCAGGAGUUUUACACGCCAGGAGGCUCCCAGGUGAAUAAAGGCAUCACAAGCCUCCUGUCUGGAGGUGGAGUCUUAGUCCGACUCCAUCACCAACAUACCCUGUGAUUUGGGCAAAUCCUCUGACCUUCCUGAUUCUGGCAGGUUCUAAAUCUGAAGGCUGAUGAGGGGCAGUAAAAUUGGGACCUUGGAGUUCCUGCUGUGGCUCAGCAGGUUAAGAACCUGACUAGUAUCCAUGAGGUUGUAGGUUUGAUCCCUGGCCUCGCUCCAUGGGUUAACAAUCUGGCAUUGCCAUGAGCUGCAGCAUAGGUCACAGAUGCGGCUUGGAUCCCACAUUGCUGUGGCUCUGCUGGCCCACACCCCAGCCACAGCAACAAGGGAUCUUUGACCCACGGAGUAGAGCGAGGUCAGGAAUCGAUCCCCUGUCCUCAUGGGUGCUAGUCAGAUUCGUUUCUGCUAAGCCACGAUGGGAAGGCCUAAAGCUGUCCUUUAAAAGAAUGAAACCAGAAUAAGGUCCCGGUCUAAACCCCAGCCACCUGUACUCUUGCUGACAUCUCCCAGCCAGGGUAUGCGUGGCCCGCGGUGACCGUCAGCAGGUUGUCCAUUUCUCUUCAAGUCAAUUUCGCCAUAUUGCUUGCGCACCCGGUGUGUGCCUGGCACCUGUCUAGGUGCUGGGGAUAUACAUCAGUGAUCAGUGUUCUGCGGAGCUUCAUAUAUUUGGUCAUUGCUGACUCUGCAGCUCCCAGAACAGUGCCUGACACACAGUAGGACAUCAAUAAAUAUUUGUCGAGAUGGUACGUGAAUCAGUAGAGAAUGAAUCCCUGCUGCAGUCUGGCGGGCUCUGCACUCUACAGCACAGAAGGAAGAGAAAUUGCUUGAGGGCCAAGGAAGCGAAUCCAGCACCUAGGACUCUCUGUGGGUGGGUGGCUAAGGGGCGCUUUGACCAUGUUUUUCUCUGGUCUCCCCAAAUCUCAGUGCUUGGCUGCCUUCCCCUGGUUUUCAGCACCACGUCUUUCCAAGUCAGUGUACUCCCAUUCAAAAUUGCAAUCUGUUCAUUCUAAAAUGCAGUUUAAGAUAAUUUUCCAGAACUGUUGGGAGAGCAGUGGCGGCAUCCAGGAACCUCUGCCGAGUGUCCUGGGAAAUGAAGUGCCCCGUGAGUAAAGAUCACAAAACCUUCUCACAGGAUUCGGCAUAUGCACCCUGGUUGGUUAUUUCCAAACUGGUUUGAAAAGAAGUUACACUGGGGGGUAAGUAGAACUGACUGAAAGCUAAUUGGUUGCUUUUUCCUGUUUUUCCCUAUGACAUUUAGAACUUUGGCCGGUUGUCAUAAGCCUCGUCUAUGCUGUACAUGUGGAAUUUUAAUUCUGAUGUUACUGGUAUGCUUUUCGGAGGGGGCAUUUCUCUUGCUAUCCUCCGUUCAGAAUCAAAACAAAUUACUGCGCCUGUUACUGUGUGAAAUUUGAAGAUUGCAACUCUCUCUCUUAACGUUAUUACUGGACUCCAUUAAAAAUAGAUCGUGAAUAUUCCAUGUCACAUUAUUCAUGAGGCAGGCCCUAUGCCUUUUGUCCGCCGGAGUAACAGGAGAAAGAGUAACGAGAGACACCAGAGCACACCUUUGUUUCUCUCACUGAAUUUUUAAUAACCCCUCCAGCCAGCCAGUUGGUGAAGCUCAGCUCUUGCAUAAAAGUGGAAAAGCGCAGCUCCCUCAGAGCAGACCAGCCCUUUCAGAGGCUAAUUUGAGUUUGCGUUCAUCCACAUCAGAGAUGAUCAAAUUACCUAUCAAGUGUGCCGAGCUAUCAGGAUUCAGGCCACAUAAAAGGUGACUUUCACCUGAUUGAUGUGAGACAGGGCUGGAACAAUUGCGUUUGAAAAGCUCCGCCUUAAUUAGAGGCAUCACGAAGCAUCACCCCGGGUGAGUUCUCCACCGCCCAUGCCCUUGAAAAUUGGGUGUUGGUAGUGAUUGGCCCUGCAUCGUUUUGUCAUGUGCCUGUUUGUGUGUUUAACAGAAAUGAAUUUCUGGAGUCCUAGCUGUUUAAAUCUCUGCUGCUGUAUUAUUUCUAAAGUAGAAACUUGCCAGGAAGCACAUGCGACAGGUGUUCAUGACCACGUAGUCAGCAUUUCAUUCAGUCAGUUUUUGUUUAAAAAAAGGAAUUUCAUCCCAAGCCCUUCCAUCUUAAAAGUUUAUGUUAAUGUUUUCUAGUGUUCCUUUGCAGUCGACACACAUGUGUGCGUAUUUAUGUGUUUUUUUUACCCUGUGAUCAAUUUAUGUCUAGAUAGCUCUUUUAUGGAUCGAUUGGUAGUGUGGGCACAUACUUAAAACGGAAACAUUUUGAGAAUUUUGACUGUUUUUAUGGUUAAAUGUUAUUCAAAUCUUAGUAUUUAUUAGGAAUUUUAUCCGUCAUUAAGAUAAAGUCUUCUGAAAUUUUAUUUUAAAGUUAUUCACUUUCAAAAUAAAGCAUGUCAAGCGUAUGGGAGAUUACAGAGAAUAACAUAAUCAGCAGUGUUUUGCCAUGUUUCUUUCCGAUUUUAUUUUUAACAUCAAAUAUUAAAGAUGGUUGAAUACCUUCUAGAAUGUGUUUCUUUCUCACCUCGGUCCCUUUCUUUCCUCAGGAGCAUCCACUGUACCACCAUGAAUAUUUUUAUUCUUUUGCUUAUAUAUAUUCUUCCCAUAAACAACAUAUAAUAUCAUUUAGAUAUGUUUACUUAAUAUAAAUGGUAUCCUAGUGUAUAUAUCCCUCUGCACGUUUUUUUCUCAACAUUCUGGGUUUUUUUUUUUGUUUUUUUUUUUUUUGAGAUUUAUCCUUGUAGGUACAUGCAGUUUUGUGCAGUUAUUUUAACUGCUUCGUAUGGAAUUCUAUUGUGUGAACUGGUGAUUAAUUACUUCUUUUCCUGUUGGGAGAGUUUUAGUUAUUUCCAAUCUUCCUGAUCACAGACAAUUGUGGUGCCAGCCACCUUUCAUGUAUCUCCUUGUGAAAGAGAUUCUUCAGGGCAUGUUCCCGGGAAUGGAAAUGCUGGAUGUUUUUACUCAGCUGCUCUCCAAACGUUGUGCCUGUUUGCAUUCCCAUCGACGGCAGGAGAGAAUUCCCGUUGCUCCAGGUCUUAACCAGCCCUUGGCGUUGUCAGAUUUUAAAAAUGUUUGCCAGUCUGGUGGAUGUGAAAUAUACAUGUAGUCUGCGUUUCCUGUUCCUAGUGAGGCUGAGAAUCUUUUCAUAAGUUUAUUGCCCUGACAGGUCUCCUUUUCUGUGAAAUGCUUGUGCAUGGGCUUCGUCCAUUUUUUGAUUGGGUUGCUUGCUUUUUAUCAUUUCUUUUCUCACGUGUCCUAGGUACGCAUGUUUUAGUUAGUUAAGUGUGUUGCCCACACUCCCAGUCCUUAGCCUUUUCAUUGUGGUCCAAGAGAUUUGUUUGUUUUGUCUUUGUGUCAGUGUGGUAAAAUGUAUCAGUUCCCUUAUGCUUUUAUCUUUUAUGUCUUAAUUAAGAAACCUUUCCCUAAUGGGUAAUCAUGAGUUUAUCACCUGUAUGUUCUUCGUGAAGCAUUAAAAUGCUUGCUUACAACAUUAGCUUUUGAAACCCCGUGUAGGUAGAUGAUAUGAAAUAGGAUCUAAUUAAACACUUUUCCCCACACAGAUAAGCAGUGACUACAAAAUUUUGUACUGCAAAUGACAGUCUUUUCCCUCUGAUUGUAAUGCCACUUUGUCAUCAUAUGUCAAGUUUCUAUUUCUGGAUAGUUCUGCUCCUGGGCUUCCUGAUCUGUUCCAUUGAUCGUUUUUGUCUGUCUCAAUGCCAAAGCCAUGUGUCUCACAAACUCUUAGUAGCUAGUAGGGAGGGCCUUCCUCUGAGCUGCUGCUUCCUCUUUAUUAGGAGUGUCUUGGCUACCUUUGGCUCUUGGCUCUUGGCUCUUGCUCUUGAAAAACUCUGCUGUAAUGUUUAUUUGUACUGCACUUAUUAUUUAAUUGGGAAGUACCAACAUCAUUUUGAUAUUGACUCUUCCCAUCCAUAAAUAUUGCUCAUUUAUUAGGGUCUUCUUUUAUGUCUUUCAAUAAAAUUUUAUAAUUUUCAACAUAAUUUUCUUUUUUUUGUUCACUGCUCUCAUAGUUCUUCAUUUUUAAACGUGUUAUUGAUUGACUGACUGAUUGAUGGCCAGCCUGAGGCAUGCAGAUGUUCCCAGGCCAGGGAUCAAACCCCACACCACAGCAGUAAUAACACUAGAUCCCUAAUCCACUGAGCUGCCAGGGAACUCCUCCUAGUUCUUUUUUAAAAUUGCAUUUCUGUCUGCUGCUGGUGUAUGGGAACAAAAUUAUUAUUUUUGUAUGUUGAUCUUGUACUUUGCAACUUUGCUGAACCUUUUUUUAGUUUGUUGAAGAUUAUUUUAGAUUGUCAGUGUGCGGUAAUAUACACUGAAAUAAAAUAUACACAUUUUAUAAAUAUUAAAAUAUGUAAAUGACCACAGCUUUGUAUUGUUCUUUCCAACAUACUCUUCUUGACUUACUGCACCAGCCAACACUGUAUUAAAUAGAGGCAGAGGAGUUCCCAUCGUGGCGCAGUGGAAACGAAUCUGACUAGGAACCAUGAGGUUGUGGGCCUUGCUCAGUGGGUUAAAGAUCUGGCGUUGCUGUGAGCUGUGGGUGUAGGUUGCAGAGGUAGCUGGGAUCCUGCAUUGCUGUGGCUGUGGUGUUAGGCCAGCAGCUGUAGCUCCAAUUAGACUCCUAACCUGGGAACCUCCAUGCACUGUGGGUGCAGCCCAAAAAAGCAAAAAAAGGGGGGGGGGGCAGAAUAGUAGGCAUCUUGACUUAUUGUCAAUUUCCAGGAAACUGCUUUUAAUUUUUCACAUUUUAGUGUGGUGUUUUUGGGUAAGUUUUGGUAGGUAACUUUUAAAAAAUCAGGUUAAAAAUCUCUAUUGCUAUUUGACAAGAAUUUGUGUGCAUAAGUGUUCAAUUUUAUUGUGUGCUUUUUGGGCCUAUAUUGAGAAACGUAUGUUAUUUAGUUGCUAAACCUUAUGACUUCUAUUCUGUAGCUUGUCCAUGUGGCAAAUGGCAAUUUAUAGAUUUUCUGUGGUAAAUUAUCCUCACACUUCUGUGGGGAACAAAGCCCAACUUGGUCAUUUUGAAAAACUACAUUGCUGAUUUGGUUUGCUGAGUUUAGGACUUUUGCAUUUAUGCUUAUUAGUGAAAUUGGCUUAUCAUCUUUCUCUCACUGUCUAGAUAUAGUUUUGAUAUCAAGGGUUAACUUGUCUCAGAAUGAAUAGGGCAGCAUUUCCUCUUUUUCUGUUUUCGGGAACAAAUUGUGAAAGAUUGAGAUUACACGUUCUUUGAGUAUUUGAUAAAACUCAUCUGUGUUUUGUUGUUGUUGUUUUCUAGUGAGGCAUGGCCAAGGGGAAUAUAUACCUUAAGUUUUAAUGAGGUCUGUUUAGGUUUUCACUUUCUUCUUAACUAGAUUACAUAUUUCAGGAGGUCUUCUGUUUCUUCUAAGUUUUCAACUUGAUAGUCAUAGUCUUUAAAAACCAGUAUGAAAUAGUAUGAAAAGUCAGAGUAUUUCUUGAUUUUCAAAAAAAUGUCUGCUGUACCUAUAAUGACAUUCAAUAUUUCAUCGUAAUAGUAUUUGUGCCUUUUUCAUGACCAGUUUUGCCAGAGAUCUCUGUUUUCGUUUUGGCAGCAUGUUUUCCUUUAUUUCUACAUCUUGUCUAAAAAGAUUUCUUACUUAAUAGAUGCAUUAUUCAUUGAAAGUGAAUUUAAAGUUUCUAAGCAUGUUUUUUUCAGUAAUUUUUUAUGAAUUACAAGUCAAUUUUUUGUUUGUUUGUUUGUUUGCUUGAUAGGGCUGCCCCCCUGGCAUAUGGAAGUUCCCAGGCUAGGGGUCAAAUCAGAGCUGCAGCUGCCGGCCUCCACCACAGCUCCCAGCAACACCGGAUCCUUAACCCACUGAGCGAGGCCAGGGAUCAAACUCGACCUCAUGGUUCCUAGUCAGAUUCGUUUCCGCUGAGCCACGACAGGAACUCCAUAAUUUAAUUAAAUUUUGAUCAGGGAACAUGACCUGUAUGAUAUUAUGUCUCUGACAUUAUUCCUCGAGAUUUAUUCUGUAGUUUUAUCCACAGUCAAUUUUUAUAGAUAAUGUAUGCUUGAAAAGAAUUGUUUUCUAGUUACUGAUGAUAAUAUAGUUAUGUCAACUUCCAGUUUUUAUGUUUAUACUAUUUACCUUUUACACAUCUUUCAGACAUGAGUAAAAUAUAAUUUCCAAUCAAGAUUU